AGAGUUUGAUUCUGGCUCAGAACGAACGCUGGCAGCGUGGAUUAGGCAUGCAAGUCGAACGGGAAGCUAUUGCUUCAACCUUCGGGGAGAAGCGGUGGUGGAGAGUGGCGGAAGGGUGAGUAACGCGUGGGCAAUCUACCUCCGAGCCGGGGAUAACUCAGCGAAAGCUGAGAUAAUACCGGAUGUGGUUUCACGAGGCAUCUCGUGGGGAUUAAAGGUGGGGAUCUUUCGGGACCUGCCGCUUGGAGAGGAGCCCGCGUCCCAUCAGCUUGUUGGUAGGGUAACGGCUUACCAAGGCUUACGGGUAGCUGGUCUGAGAGGAUGGUCAGCCACACUGGGACUGAGACACUGCCCAGACUCCUACGGGAGGCUGCAGUCGAGGAUCAUAGUCAAUGCGCGAGAGCGUGAACUUGCGACGCUGCGUGGGGGAUGACGGCCUUCGGGUUGUAAACCCCUGUCAUUCGGGAAAAAUGGCCCCGAUGUUAAUACCAUCGGGGUUUGAUGGUACCGGAAGAGGAAGCCACGGCUAACUCUGUGCCAGCAGCCGCGGUAAUACAGAGGUGGCAAGCGUUGUUCGGAUUUACUGGGCGUAAAGGGUGCGUAGGUGGUUCCGUGUGUCGGAUGUGAAAUCCCGGGGCUCAACCCCGGAACUGCAUUCGAAACUGCGGGACUAGAGUACAGGAGGGGAGAGCGGAAUUCUCGGUGUAGCGGUGAAAUGUGUUGAUAUCGAGAAGAACACCGGUGGCGAAGGCGGCUCUCUGGAAUGUUACUGACACUGAUGCACGAAAGCUGGGGGAGCAAACAGGAUUAGAUACCCUGGUAGUCCCAGCCGUAAACUGUGUGCACUUGGUGUGGGGGGAAUUGACCCCCUCCGUGCCGGAGCUAACGCGUUAAGUGCACCGCCUGGGGAGUACGGCCGCAAGGCUAAAACUCAAAGAAAUUGACGGGGGCCCGCACAAGCGGAGGAGCAUGUGGCUUAAUUCGAUGCAACGCGAAGAACCUUACCAGGGCUUGACAUGUAGUUGCACGCCCGCCGAAAGGCGGGAAGCCUUCGAGGGUACUACACAGGUGCUGCAUGGCUGUCGUCAGUUCGUGCCGUGAGGUGUUGGGUUAAGUCCCGCAACGAACGCAACCCCUGUGUUUAGUUGCCACUCCCCGAGCGAUCGGGGAAGCACUCUAGACAGACUGCCCGUACAAGCGGGAGGAAGGUGGGGACGACGUCAAGUCAGUAUGGCCCUUACGCCCUGGGCUGCACACGUGCUACAAUGGCCGGUACAGAGGGAAGCAAGACCGCGAGGUGGAGCAAAUCCUUAAAGCCGGCCUCAGUUCGGAUUGGAGUCUGCAACUCGACUCCAUGAAGUCGGAUUCGCUAGUAACGGCGCAUCAGCUACGGCGCCGUGAAUACGUUCCCGGGCCUUGUACACACCGCCCGUCACAUCAUGAAAGCCGUCUGCACCCGAAGUCGCUGAGCUAACUCGCAAGGGAGGCAGGUGCCGAAGGUGUGGGUGGUGAUUGGGAUGAAGUCGUAACAAGGUA
rnacentral:rRNA from 1 species